UCGAGAAUCUUUCGCAAUGCCCGAAAGGGUGACGAAGCGACGCCGCGUGUGGGAAGAAGGCCUUCGGGUUGUAAACCACUGUCGGGAGUUAGGAAAUGCAGGUGCGUUAAUAGCGCACUGCUGA
rnacentral:rRNA from 1 species